UCUCUGUUAGUAUAUCGGUUAGUACACGCGCCUGUCAUCACUUAGGUUGGCCAUAAUACCGCGCGAAAGCGGGGUUCGACUCCCCGACAGAGAG